rnacentral:rRNA from 1 species
UCCGGAGAGGGAGCCUGAGAAACGGCUACCACAUCCAAGGAAGGCAGCAGGCGCGCAACUUACCCACUCUCGGCGAGAGGAGGUAGUAAAGACAAAUAUCGAUACAGAACUCAAAUGAGGUACUGUAAUCGAAAUGAGUGCAUUAUAAAUCCUACAACGAGGAUCUAUUGGAGGGCAAGUCUGGUGCCAGCAGCCGCGGUAACUCCAGCUCCAAUAGCAUAUAUUAAAAUUGCUGCAGUUAAAAAGCUCGUAGUUGGAUCUGGGUUCUGGUUUGGGAUGUUGUGGAUUAGUAUUAUGUUAUUCAUUUACUGGUUCAUGGCUUAUCCAGGCCGAAUCUUCCAGCUGUGUCUAUGUUGUACUUCGGUAUGGCGUAGAUGAUGUCGUUGUCUGUGAUUGCCCUUAAGCUUUCCAGCUUCGAUGUUAUGCACUGUUAAUGCCUUUAAUCGGGUGUUCGGUGUGGACAGCACGUUUACUUUGAACAAAUUUGAGUGCUCAAAGCAGGCCUAAGUUGCCUGAAAAGUCUUGCAUGGAAUAAUAGAAUAGGACUUCGGUCCUAUUUUGUUGGUUUAAUAGACCCGAAGUAAUGAUAAAAAGAGACAGACGGGGGCAUUUGUAUGGCAGCGCUAGAGGUGAAAUUCAUGGACCGUUGCCAGACAACCUAAAGCGAAAGCAUCUGCCAAGGAUGUUUUCAUUUACCAGGAGCGAAAGUCAGAGGUUCGAAGACGAUCAGAUACCGUCCUAGUUCUGACCAUAAACGGUGCCAUCUGAUGAUCCGUGGGGUCUCCUUUUGUGAGCCCACGGGCAAUCUCCGGGAAAACCUGUAAGACUAUGGGUUCCGGGGAAAGUAUGGUUGCAAAGCUGAAACUUAAAGGAAUUGACGGAAGGGCACCACCAGGAGUGGAGCUUGCGGCUUUAAUUUGACUCAACACGGGAAAACUCACCCGGACCGGACACUAUGAGGAUAGACAGAUUGAUAGCUCUUUCUUGAUUUGGUGAUUAGUGGUGCAUGGCCGUUCUUAGUUCGUGGUAUGAAUUGUCUGGUUAAUUCCGAUAACGAACGAGAUUCUAACCUGCUAAAUAGUUCAUGUGUAAUCCUGUGUGGUUUGUGCGUAUGCUAGCUUCGGUUGGUUGCGCAUUGCUAUACGUGCAUGUGGUACUUCUUAGAGGGAUUGGUGGAUAUCCAAGCCACACGAGAGAGAGCAAUAACAGGUCUGUGAUGCCCUUAGAUGUUCGGGGCCGCACGCGUGCUACACUGACAGUGGUAGAGAGUUUGGUAUCCUCAGGCGAAAGCUGGGGGCAAACUUUUCAAUUACUGUCGUGCCUGGGAUCGGGGUUUGUAACUAUCCCCCGUGAACCAGGAAUUCCUAGUAAGCACAAGUCAUCAGCUUGUGCUGAAUACGUCCCUGCCCUUUGUACACACCGCCCGUCGYUA